CGGUGUCACAGCAGAAUAUAGAGGUUCCUGAGCUAGUUUUAAGUGAACUGCACUGGAUAUCGCAGAGGAAUCCAGCUGUGGGACUUCAGCAUGGGCUAAAUUUACCCUGCUUCUCUGCACUGUGGCCUUACUCUGGUUUAGAGGUUUGACAAAUUGUCGACAGGUCUGAACACUUCAGGAACAGCCUGGCAUUAAUCCCAGGUUCAAAUAGGAAGUAAAGACUGCCAAAAGACACUGGGAAAAGAAAAAGAGCUGCUUCUCACCAGCGCUUAGAGGACUUCAACCUUUCAAGAGGAGAUUCUGAGCUCCUGAUGAGAGCAGACUUUCAUAAACUCUGUUCCAGUUUUACAAUUGUAUAGCCAGACCAGAUCUUUUGUUCCCAGAACUUCUGAAGUUGCUAAAAAAACAUCAGUUAUUGAAAGCCUCUUUUUUUCUCCUCUUUUGCCAAGAUCGAGUCUCUUAAGUAAUGCUGAGCCUGUGCACAGUGCUCUAUCAGGAGUGAAACUGCAGCUUAUCGUGAAAUGGAGAACCACAGCGUACACCUUUGUGGAGAAGACAGUUGGAGAGAUAGGAGAGCAAUUUCCCCUUCUGUAUAUUGCCUCCUUCCCUGUGCAGACUAUGCAUAGAUAUCAGAGGAAAACUACCAAAUCCAUGAGCCCAAACUGUUUGGAAACACAUUGUAGCACGAAAGUCAGGUUGCUCAGGUCCCAUUUAAUGCCCAGCACAAAGUAAAGCUUCAUGGCCUGCUGUUUCAAAAUAGGGUAGUUUAUUUUAAAUCUUUUAGUAUGUGACUGUGAUUCACCUGGUCAUCUGUGUUUUGAAUGCAGCAGAUUCUAUUGUGUGGGUACAUGUAUAUGGUGUAUACAUGAGUGAGGAAAGCUAGGGGUGACUAACUACUUCCACUUCUCAUUUCUAUGAACUAGAGAUCUGUAUUGUUGCUUAACCUGAAGCUAAGAAUGCAGUAAAUACUGGAUGGUGAGAUUAGAACUUUUUUACAUAACCCAAUGGAGAAGUAACAAAGAGUUUUUCCACAACCAAAUGCUUAUUUCCAGUAUCCAGCAGAAUGCAAGUCUCCUAUCUGAACCACAAAAUCAAAACUGACUAUGAAUGACCAAGGGAAUGAGACAAUUUCUUUAGACAGACAGGUGAAACACUCAAGUGUUUGAUCUUGGACUGCAGAAAAAAUACUGCUCUGAUUCAAUUGUCACUUAAAUGGGUAUAAAUCAGGAAUAGCUCAUGUAAAUCUUACAUUUGUACUGCACCUUCUGGUAAGUCUCAUGGGCUCAACAGUGAUGUGAUCUAAUUUCAAAUGUCAUUGAGUAUUUAUUCAGAAUGAGUUUUACAAGAGUUCUCUGGAGCACUUCUCUGUUUGAAAGGAGAAAGUAGGUUAAAAAAAGGGUAAUUUACAAGGAAAAGACAAGGCAAGAACACUCAGCAUGAGGGCCUGGUUAAACACAUGACAAUGUUUAAUCCUUACUGUUCCUAAUCCUUCAGGCCAGGCUUGCAACACUGGAAGCUUUUCAGUUCUUGCUCUGGGACUUACUGACUGCUAAGAGGACAGAGCAGUCCCAGUCUCCUCAUUUAGUGUUGACUUAAUAGGAACAAUGUAAAGGACAAGAUACAGCAUAUGUUAAAAGUACAUGCCUGUGGGCUACAUAUGUCAUGCAGCUGGAAGGCUGCUGCCUUAUAGAAGUAAUAAUACGGCCAAGAAACAACCAUUACGAUCAGGCAUAUGGGCAGCCAAGUGAGUAAUGCUGCCAGGAGGAAUGCCUACAGUGCAGCAGUUGUGAAAUACUGAUUAAAAAGUCCUGAAGUGGCUGCUUGCCCCUGACAAGUCAUUUCUGCUGAAGCAGGAGUCUUUCCAGGCUGAUAGUUUCUAAAUGCACUUUCAGGCUUAUGCAUUUUGAAUGUCUUUAGCUGAAGCUGGUUUGUUCUUCCUAUCUAUAUCUGCAAUGCCUCCUAUCAUAACCCAUCAUUUCAGCUUAUUGUCACCCUCCUGGGAAUCUUUAGUUCCUCAACAGAGUUGACUGGAAACCUCCCCUCAUGCAUCAUUUCCUGAAGAGUUCAAUCAGCUUAGCAGGAAAGACUGAAGGCCAAAACCUACAAAGAAGAUAAGCUUUGUUAUGGUAAAGAGAACACUAAAUGUAUCUGCUGCUUUUCUUGUUUUUGAUUCCCCCCCCCCUCCUCAUGGUAUGUGAAAGGUGAGGAUGAAAUCUGCCUCUGUCAGACACUGGCUGCUGUUAAAAAUAGACAUGUCUCCAGUAAGAUGUUUUGGGGGAUGGGGUUUGAUAAAGGGUUUUUUAUAUUAUAAUUAAGGAUACAUUAGUGUCAAAUUGCUGGCAAUCUGAUCAAAGCUAUCACUUUGUUCUCCUACUUUUUCUUUUCUUCCUUUCCCAGUUACAUGAAUACAUGGUUGCUCAGAAGUUUUAUUCCUUAUUUUAAAUAAGCACAAUUGUCCCAGUGACCCAAAAGUAAAGCAAGUUGUUAUGCAAGGGUAAACAAUGAAUAUGAUAUGUUCUAUUUAUUUCAUUUAGCCAGUAUUAGAGCUUUAUCCUAAGAAUAUUUGAUUGUUGUGAGAAAAGUCGUAUUAAUAAUAUUUACAAUAAAACAGAAACCAGAACUUAAUAAUAUUCAUGUUCUACAAAAUCAUGUCUGCUUCAAAACAGCCUUAGGAUUUUGACUGCAUCUCAUUCAGCACAGCCAUAUUCAUAAUUUUCUGAGGGCUCCUGAGAGUUAUUUUGUUGCACUCAAGGGUAUUGGUGCUAGUUCUGCCUGCAGUCUGCUCAGCCCUUCACUGCCAGAAGUGUUUGUGAGAUGCAUUUUGUCAUGUAUGUGGCCUUGUGAGGUCUCCAAAAAAAAAGUGUUAAAUUUACACAACAUUCUUAUCUGCUGACAGCUACAUUUUCCUAAUCAGAAUAAGCAAGUUCAGAGUAUGGUUGUUAUUGCUGCUCCUGUUAUUUUAAAAAAUUCCUUAUGGUAAUUGUGCCAAAUGUCACUAUUUGAAGAAGGUAAAGGAGCUGAUCAAGUUAAAUUCUUAGAUUGCUUUGUCAUCUUAAAAGGGUAAAGAGUGACUGCAAAUAUUCUUCAUGAAAAACAAAUGGAGUAUCUGAGGUUUUUUUCACUGAUUUUGCUUGAGUGGAAUAAAUCCCAAUUCAUGGUGGCAGGCAUGAGAAAAGGGCAAGAAUCCUAGGCAAGAAUCCAGGGAAAAUGUAUGCCAACACUUACAAAUGAAAUAAUUGAGAGUUGGUUCCUCCUUGCACACUUACGGCUGGAAGUCAGUGAGAAUUAGUGAUGAAAGUCACUUUUUCCCCUGGCAGAACUUUGCCUGUGUCUUUACUGACAUUUUCCUGUUGGGGUUUGUCAAGUGCCUCUUCCAGAGCACGAAUGACACUACAGCAGACAGCUGCUAAUACCUUUUACUCUGUACAAGAAAAGCUAUUCCCCUUCACCCUUCAUAUUUCAGAGUGGAGCUUUUCUAAGCUAAGGGCACAGAGUUUUAAAGAAGGGUAAAUAUGUUAGCGUGUAUAUCAUACAUACACACACAUAGAUAUAUAUACAUAUUAGGGCAUGCUCAUAGUUUAUUAAUGUUCUUGUGGCUGUAAAUACUGAUGAUAUAGGAAAAUGUAACGUGACCUUAUAAAAAUAAUUUAUUAGUACAUAGUAAAGUACAGGCAACUCAGUUGUUAUUUAUAAUUAACAAAAUUAAGUUUCCCAGACACAAAUGGCAACUAUUGUGGUUUAACCAUAUUUUGAUUUUUGGUUGUUUAAAAAUUUCUAUGACUAAUCUCUUCAUUAUAAGUUCAGGGUUAGCUUGAGUAAUGUAGUGCUGAGAGCAACUAAAUCUGCUCACUGGGGCUGAUGACUCCAGACCCCCUGCACAUAUCCAUUGUGUAGCUACUGCUCUGGAGCAUAGACGCCUACAAUUGUCUGGCUUUUAUUGGCAGGUACAUAGGAAAUUAGAUGUGGCAUUUGAUGGCUCAGUUUCAUUUUGGGGGGUUUACAGUGUUGAUCUCAGCAGAGUUUAGACCAUGUGAUCAUACUGAAAUGCAGUAUUGGACAGAAUUGAGAAAUAUGCUUAUUCAGAGAUCUAACUGUCAACACAAUAAAGAAGAAAUAUUUGCAUUAGGAAUUAUGCUGUCCUUACUCAGCACCUUUUUGUAACCACAUCAGUAGCCAGAACUUGCCAUGCUGCCAUGUGAGCUCAUGAAUGGAUUGGCAUCAAUGUAGUGAGUCUUUUUUCCAGUGUCAAAACAUUGCAGUGCAUUUAGAGUUGCCCCUGGCUAAAGCCAUUUUAAGUGAGAGAGAGAGAGUAUGAAUGAGAUUUACAGUAAAGGUCUUUUCUUCUUUGUAGAUCACUGAAGGGUGGAGGGAGAGCCUCCCCCUGCCCGUCUGUGUGAACUUGGCUAUUCUACACAGUAGCAGGAGCUGGGAUUCCCUGCAAGGUGACUCUUUUGUGAAAUGGCGUGAAACUUGCAGUGAAGGAGUACAUUUGUAUGUGUUAUGGAUUCUACUGGAAAUACGCACGUUUUCUGGAUGUCAUGCUCCUGGUAAGACACCAGAAUGUUAUACCUGCUCUCCUUGUUCCUCCACUUCCCAACUCUUUCUUGUGUGACACAGUACUAGGCAGAGUAACCCAGUCUGAUCAGGAACCAGUUGCCAACCCUCCCUGGGUAUGGUCCUUCAGAGGAGCUCCCUGGUCUUCACAGCAGUGGUGUGUGUGGCAGUGGAGUUUACUGACAGUUCUGAUCAGGUUGAAAGCUACAUUGGCGACAAACAAAAGACUGCAAGCAUCAUUUCAGAUACAAACCUUGCUUAGAAAACAGUUCUCAGCAAACUGAUCUUACAAAGCGCUCGAAAUUGAAACAGUAGAAAUAAUUUCUAUGACUUCCACUCCCAUUGCCAAGAAGGAAUCAGGCCUUCUGGAGAACUCUCCAAAUUGAUCCAGAUACAGAGCUGGGCAGGCAGAGAAGGUGAAUGCUGUUGGCAGCUGGGCAGAGAGCCAGCUAGCGGUUCUCUUCCAGACUUUCAUGGCUGCACAGAGCAUAGCAUCUCCCUCUACCAUUUAGUAAAUUUAUGACAUCACCAGCUGUUACUAGGGAAACACAGAAAAUACAGAUUUAGAUCUUGGCAGCUAGGUGUAAAGAGAAAAUGUCUUGGUUUUUUGGGGGUCAAAAAGGAAAGCUGAAAGAAUUUCAGAACAACUUUGAAUUGGAACAAAUCAAUAAUUCCAAACCAAACAAUUUAGCUGCUAAACUGACAGUGUGGUCCCUAUAUUAUGUCCCUCACAGAAAACAAACAUGGGAGAUCAACUGCAGAACUUCUAACUUCAUGGAGCUUAAACAUAUCCUUUGGACGUAAGACCAUUACUGUUGACUUAGAACUUCAGUUCUGAUCAGUGGAUUUAACAAGUUGCUUUUAGGAACAUGAUAUCCUUCAGAAAGUGCUGAUAAUUGCUGCUUCUUGAGAAAGAGUUUGCUGGUGUUUCACAGCAAAGAAAGUAUGUAGUGUUGAGUUUUGAUAAAACUGUGCAAAUACCAUUACUGUUGUGAUGAAGUAUGUGCUUUUAAUAGCUUUUAAAAAUGCGGGCUUUGUGAGAACGGACAUCUUCAGACAUGUGUUUUGUGGCUUUUAGGUGCUUGAGAUUUUUGAAGUUUUGGGAAUCAUAAUUUUGUCUUUUAGUAACAUUAGCUGACAUUUUAUUUAUGUUGCAUGUUUAAAUGAAAACACUGCUUUUUAAAUGGAUUAUUAUUUGAGUAUUAGGUAGUUGAGGCCCAGCUAAUAUUAGCUCUUCUGCAGGUUUGUUGAUUUCAUUCAAGCUGUACAAAAUGUACAGGUUCGGUAUGUACUUGAGUUACCCAGAAGCAAAUGCAUCUUUGCUGCAAAGGCAGAUGGAACAAGCUCGAGUGAGGACUCAAGCUGAACUCAGGUCUGGAAUUGUAACAGCUGCUUUGUCUCUAUUCAUACCUGCAAGGCUGUGGGCUGAACAUGACUGGAGAUCCCAGGUCAGAAAGGUACAGGUUGUUAUACUCACUAAAUGUGUGGAAGAUCUGUAUUGGAGGGUUAAAGACCUGUGGACUCACCCUAUUUGGCUGUAUCACCACUAAGGACCAAAAUUUUGUAGGAAAAAAUCCCCCCUGUUGCUAAUCUAGUGUCAAAUAUAUCCACGAUGGAGGUUCUUAUGUGGACACUUAGCAGCAUUUCUAGCAGUGUUCCACAACUGUUGUCUUAAACAGCAUAGGAACGUGUUUAAUUUGAUUUGCAUCCUCCAUACCAAAAACCAGGCAAGAUCUUCUUGCUAAACAACCAAUCUCUUUCCCCUGUUUUGUUGGUGGCCUUGGAUCCUGGAAUUUCUAUGUCACAAGAGCAGUUUGCAUACAGUUUGGAUCUUGUUAUCUGGAACAUGGUUCAAUGUUCCCUGUUGUGUCUUGUUUCAGUGGGAUAAUGACCAAGGAAGCUGCUGAGACAUGGGUGGGUUGCCAGGGAUAUGUCAUGAGAAAGCUGUCCAGAGUCAUCUGCCCACAUGCUGUGAUGCUGGCUCCCAUUUCCAAAGCAGGGUUGCAGACAUAGGAGAUCAUUAGUGCUCCAAAGAACUUAGCUAUCUAUGCAAGUUCCUUUUUUUAUCCUUUACAGUGAGUCACUUGGAAAGGCUCCUUUUUUGGUCCUCUUUAGUUCAACUGCUGGUUCCUUUUGCUUGCAUGCCCAGUCACAGCCCUGAGACUUGUGACUGGGGCUGCAACAGCCAUUGGGGCUGUAGUCAUGGUUUAACUCUGGAAUGGUGGAAAUAUUCUUCUUCUUCACUUUUCUUCUUUAAGGACAUGAAAGAUAUUUCUGAAGAGGAAGGAAUUUACUUCUUGGGAAAAUUCAUGUGCAACCAGGAUGGAGUUCCCCAUGCAGACUUUCAGGUGGUAGAUUUGCUCUGAAAUUCCCAUGAGGAGGAGAACAUUUUGUCUUGUGUGGUAAAUUCAUGGUGUUGGCAGUCUAUGCCAUGGUUUUAGAAUUCGGUGCACUCCUGCGGCUUGCACAUACAUACUUUCCAAAAUGGUGUCUCCACUGAAGCUACUCUUCAGUACCCACAAGGGAUCAGGAGGAAGUACUUUGGCCCUGCACGAGCUUCGCACAGGCCUUUAAGAAAAUGAAUUAAUAUGACAAGACUGCAUUAAUCAGACCAAUAUAUGAUACGUAUUAUUUUAUAUUCGCUGUCAAUUAUAAUUGUAGAUUACUACAAGACACCUUCAUCUUGUUGCUGAUGUCUUUUCUAAAUGUGGUGCAGUGGAACAGAAGGGGCAGUAUAGUAGGACAUACAGGGACAGAACAACAAGGAGCUUCUAUAUGAUGCUCUCUUUAGCAUAAACAUAUUGACUCCUGGACAGAGAGAAAAGGCAGUGAAGGAACUUCAGUGGAGAAUAUCCUUAGACAAUAAACAAAUUGUCUUUCUCAUGCUUUCAUCCUCCUUUUUUCCCAGGACACAAAUAGGAAGAAUUAUCCACACCUGAACCUGAGAUUCACUUAUGCUACAUGUGUAUUUAUCAAAUUCAACUGGAUGGGAACCCUGUCCCCUGAAGAACAUACUUGUGAAGAGCUAGAAAUCACAAAUCUAGUAACUGCAUUGAUGUGAGCUGGUAACACAAAUGGAUGCAGAGCAAUUAUCUCCAUUCCAUCUGGAUUGGACUGUGUUGGGAAAAGUGAUAAAGAAAAUUUCUGCUGUACUGGUUAUGUUUGUGAUAGAUGAAAGCCCCUCUAAAGAUGACACUUUAAUGUUCUCUUUCUUGACCUUCUGAUGUAUGUUGAGUUUUGGUUGCUGACUAAAGUAGCAACACAGAUAAUUGGGCUUUUAAAGGCCCUAUUUCAUAAAUCUAAUAACAACACUGAGGGAAGCUGAUGUGUAUUCUCUUCUUGCUAGUGUAUCAUUAAUAGAUCCGGUAUCACAUUUUCCAUGUAAAAUAGCUCCUAAAAAAGGAUCUGGGCUGACUUUCAGGCUCCAGUGGGCUGACCAUUAGGAAGGAAAUCUUCCUGCUACCUUCAUUAGGAAGAAAAGGACAUUGCAUGAGAGACACUUUUCUAAGUAUGCCUCAUCAGCAGCCCUGUGUUGAGGGAUUUGGUGGCCUGCAGCUAGUGGUGUCCUUCAGAAAGGGGACACAAGCCAGUUUUGAGUUGCUAUGCUCCUCUAAAGGGAUUUUGCUAAAAUAGGAGAAGAAUUUAUCACCUCUUAGAAGAUAUUUUGGCUGUACUAUGCAAGCAGUUUAGUAAAAUCUCUGUAUGUGAGUGUUGGCAGUCUUUGAAACAAAAGAAGUAGGGCUGCUUUGUGUGCACUGAAGGAUUUUUGCUAUUGACUUCACUGGAGCCAUAAUUCGUCACCAGAUUCAUAUCCUGAAACCUGAAGUGCCCUUAAAAGGGCUACUGCAAAUUUAUAAAUCAUAAUCACAGUCCUCGGUUGACAUGACAACCAGUACCAUCC